rnacentral:lncRNA from 1 species
UGUGUUCUUUAAGAGGUCAAGGGUAUGGCUAGUCUGCCCUGAAUCUGGGAGUUAUCUGUUGGUUGCAUCAGAUAGUCAUGAGGCUCAGUCCUGGUAUUUGUGCCCAGUUGAUCACCAUGCACAAAGGCUGAAUGACUCCUCACCCUGUAACAUAGCCUUCAGUUCUAAGGUGGAGAUUGACAGAGCCCAAUCAGAAAAAACAAAACAAAACAAAAAUAAACAACAACAAGAACAACAGACAUGCAUGUGGAUGGCGUUGGUAAACUGACAGUUCCUAAGGAAGGUAAUUUCUUGGGCUAAGUGUAAGGCUCUUUUCGAGACCCAAGGAAGACACGGAGGCAUCUGCACGUGCUCUGCCAGUCCUUGAUUGGUUUUUGGUCAUGGCGUUUAGUCACAGCAACAGAAACCCUAACUAUGACAACAUAAAAGAACGACCUGAGAGUGAUGUUUGGGUAGAGGGAAAGGACUGAGAUAGUAGGUCACACGCUUGAAACUUAGGAUUCCCUACCUCCUGGCCCCUGUCCUGCACAGGACACGACUCACUGUCUGCUUCCGAGAAUGAUCCAGACUCGUCACUGGAAUUGGUUCCGUAAGACUGCUCACAUUUAAUCUGGGGUCGGACUUGGUUGUACAUUCCAUCUCCCAUCAGGCCUGGUUCCUGAUGUUCCGUGGCAAGGAAUCUGGCUCCCUGGGAACAGGGCGAAGAGGAGAACUCACAGAGAGGGAGGCUGCAGGGGGAGCCCCCACUCCCGUCCUCUGCGUAGGAAUACGAGGAGCAGGAGCUGGAGGUCCUAGUCCUGGUCUCGAGCGGAGAAUUCCCAUGGUCCUCUUGGGGGCGCUGGCACGCACUGUCCUUUCUGCAAACAAACAGGCCAUCCUCCCUGUUCAGGAGCUGGGUCUGCAGGAAGCUGAAGCAGGAGUCCUCCAGAUUGUGCAUGCGCAGGAACUCAGCACAGCGGAUGACCUCCCGGAUGUUCUCUCUGCUGAGUAACAGCUUGGCAGUGUAGGCAAACUGUAGCAGUGGCCCAAAGCCCCUGGCCGUGACCUGCAAAACAAACAGGGAAAUCGCCAACGUUACCAUCAGCACUGCUAUUGUCCUGAAUUUCUCAACCAAAGCAAGAUAACCAGACAGUUGCUAAUGCCCUAAAAUAAAAACUGCAAAGGAGCAGUUAAUCUCAUACUGGGUCAGCAAGGCUUCUGCUUCCAAUAAUUAGUGGUUGUCUCGUGCCUGCCACCUCCGUCCUUCACGGCACCAGCAGAAUUGAGAAUCGCCAAGGUCAAGUGGUGAGAUUCUUAUGAAGCCCGCUGCUGACCCCGGGGGAAGGGAGACAGAUCUACAAAUCAUGUGAACACAUCAAACAAGAGCAGCUGUCUUGGGUGCUUGCUGCAGCUACAGUGGCAGUGAUCAAAAGUUUCUGCGGGGGAGGGAGUGGGAGGAAGAUGGAGCGGUAAGCUGGGUGGCUGACUUCUGCAUGUCUUAAACUUCCUGCAGCACAGGGAGCCAGCCCAAGCUCAUUAAGAGACCUGUCUCCACUGCACAAGAUUCAACCCACUGUGCUCUCAAAACUCUUGGAGCCAGAGAGAGCAAAGAUCCUGGAGUCUCCACCGAAUGGGAUUUUAAAUGUCGAUGUUGUGGAAGUACUUGAUAAAAACCAAAUAUAAAUAACCUGUUAGGUAAAUAAAUAAAUAAAAUAAACAAUCUGUUAGUUCAGAGGGAUUCAGCCAUCAGUAACAAGCCCAUUUGGAAUAAAGACAGAGAAAUCCUGUAUGGAAGGAGGAACUAAAUAAAAGGCCAGAAAGGGAGAAGUUAAAUUGUUACAACUUUCAGAUGACAUGAUUUUUAAGAACAAGUAACCCUGAAGAGUCCAGUGUUUAUGAUCAUGAACUAAGAAUAAACUUAUUAAACACAAAAAUCAACAUACGAAACCAAGCAGCACUUUAUAUACUAGCAGUGAGUUGUCUGAAGUGGAAAUCCCAUUUUCGAGAGCUACAUGAAACAUGGAGGAACAAAUCUAACCAACGAGGUUAAAGAUCUCUACAGGGAAAACCAAUAAAACAUUGAAGAAAGAAGCUGGAGACAUAGAGACAAACAGACGGAUACUCUGUAUACGUGGGCUACAAGAAUUAAUAUUGUUAAUACAUUCAUAUUGUCUAGGCAAAUCUAUAUACAAUCUGAUUCAACC